rnacentral:tRNA from 1 species
GGAAAAACAGCUUAGUGGUUAGAGCACUCCUCUAGAAAGGGAGAGGAGUGCAGGUUGGAUUCUUGUUUUCA